CAAGGCACACCUGUUAAUUGAAAUGCAUUCCAGAUGACUACCUCAUGAAGCUGGUUGAGAGAAUGCCAAGAGUGUGCAAAGAUUUCAUCAAGGCAAAGGGUGGCUACUUUGAAGAAUCUCUACAUGUAGCAACUUUCACAGUGAAUACUUUUGUUCAUAUGUUUUGUGCGAAUUAAUUUAAUAUUGUGAAAUGUAUCAGUAAAACAUAUUGUGCCGAUUUAAUCUAACCACCUAGUGGUUAGAACGUUGGACUAAUAACGGAAAGGUUGCAAGAUCGAAUCCCCUAGCUGACAAGGCAAAAACCUGUCGUUCUGCCCCUGAACAAGGCACUUAACCCACUGUUCUCAAGUAUAACCAUUUAUCUUACAUCUGAAGAAUGCGGACAUUUAGGACAUGAAAUAUCACACUUCCUCAAUUCAAAUAUUAUGGUGACACUAUACCAAAGAUAGUUUAGUAUGAUUUAGAAACUUGGGAACCAAACUCUGUAUGUAGCAAACCUGAAUGCACCAUUGAAGUAUUUUACAGCCACUAACCUCAUGUGCAGACCAUGGUACUGUGUGGAUAGGGGGGUGUUCCCUCUGCUGUUUCCUGAAGUCCACAAUCAUCUCCUUAGUUUUGUUGACGUUGAGUGUGCGUAGAGUGCGUAGAUGCGAGAAAGAAUUAUCCAACGAUCAAAGGGAUCCUGCUGUGUAUGUGGCUGCUAUGAUUUUAGUAUCAGGUAGUAGCCUAAACCUAUCACUGUUACUUUGAGCUAGGUGAAUGGAAUAUGAAUGACAGUCUUCCAAUAUGCUGUAAUAGAAAUAAGGCCAUGUUCAUGAAAAAUAUCAUCCUCCCCUAUCUUAAAUGCACUGACCGCCACUGGUUUGCUCCCAUUUGAUGGUGUGGGUUGGCUUGAAGCAAUGAGUGAUGUAUUUAAAGGACAGUGGUCAUGUGGUCAUUCCCCAACCCAUCCCCGUUUUCAACUUGUCUUUCAGGACAGCACCAUUUCCGUUCAAUUACUGAAUGCAGCCCUGGUACAGGAUUCAUACCCUGCAGUGAGUGAGCUGAUCAAAUGUACCCACACACUAUCACUGUGUUCAAUCAGCAUAAGCUCCUUAGUCCGUACUAUCUUAUUGAAUGAGGUUUGGUGUGGUAUGGAGACAUUUGGUUUUCUUGAUAAAAUUAUUUAAUGAUGAGAAAGCCUCAUGGCAUGCUAAACAGUCAGUAUUCUCAUGUGAAAACUGGUGUGUUGUGCCCUCAUGUAGUCAUUUAGCUCUGGGGAAGUACAUCAUACCCAUUCACACGUUUUGCCCCAGUAGCGACUGCAUGAAGAUAUGAUACCUGUAAGUUUCCAAAUUAGUCCAUCAAUGAUGAGAGGAUAGCUCUGAAGCAUGGGCCAGAAUAUAUUUCAACAGCUGUGAGAGAUAUUUCUCUCUAACCCUUAUAUUUUUCUGCCUCGGACUGUAUCUUGUUCAACGUUAAUAAUCUGAAUUGGAGUGAUUUAUCACGCGGUUCCGUCUCAGUUUUCAGAUCAAAUGUGAGGCGGCUACUGAACAAACAAACUCAAGGAAAUCAAUCAUUAUUGAGGAGGGGACUGUUUCAACCAUUAUUUUCCAGCAUUAUUUCUAGCCGAUUGCGCAUUGGUGUGGACAACAUUUUUUCACGUAGGAACCACGGUUUUUAGGAGUUAAUACGAAAUUAGCUCCGUAAAAGGCAGAUAAAGAUACGAACAGAGUGAAGUGUAGGCAUACUUUAUCAUGCAUGAGAAUGUUUUCCUCUCAAUAGUGAGUGCAUUCUUGGACCGAUAAACUGUCUGGUUGAUGGACGGCAACUUCAAGAAACAAUCAGGAAAGUAGCCUAGGUGCUAGCUGUCACCACAAUGAUAUAUGGCUCUAUAGGCUGACGGGAUGAAGGUUAUUAGCUGGGAGAUGGCGUGGCCGGUACACUGGAGCGGCCUCCUGCUCUGCAUAGUGAUCCUCUACUGCCAACCAGUGUCCACCGGCAACCACAGCCCCUUGGGGCAGUCGGGUAAAGACAGGUACCUGUGAAGUGGUGGAUGCCCAUCACUGCUGCAAUAAGAACAAGAUUGAGGAGCGCUCUCAAACUGUCAAGUGUUCCUGCUUCCCUGGCCAGGUCACUGGGAAAACAAGAGCAAUGCCCUCUUGUGUUGAAGCAUCCAUCAUGCUUCAGAAGUGGUGGUACCAGAUGCAGACCUGUCUUAAAGGGAGAGGAGUGUAAAGUACUGCCGGAUCUCAAUGGCUGGUCCUGUAGCUCUGGAAACAAAGUCAAGACCACCAAGCUUAAUUAUGUUUGCACAUCUAGCUAAUGCAAAGUUUGAAUGACCGCAUUUGUGCAGAAUCAUCACACGUGUUUACAGUACUUGCAAUAAGCCUUGCUUUAAUUAUAAAAUAUCCCACAAUCUGACAUGAUUACUGCUCCCAGUCAGUCACAGAGGGCUAAGCAAGCUUCAUUUGGUAAUUCUGUGGAAGAUGGGGCCAAAAGGACAAACAUGAAAUGAGACCUUUUUAUACAUGUAAACCAGCUGAUACAGAGAUCUAAAUGGGAUGUAAUUCAAUCUGACAGCCUUUCAUGCCAGUGGACAAACUGCUGCCUUUAGGAAUGUGCAAAUCUAUGAUGUCUUGCCUUUUAUCAGCUUGAAAUAUAUAUGCAGUAGGGAAACCUAUCAUGAGUCAACUUGAAGAGAAUAGAAUAACAGCUGAACAUA